UUGCAAUGAUGUAUGAAUUUCUUCACCUGAAAAAGAAUGAAGAGCAAAUACACGAGCUUUUUAACCCUGAGCAAA
rnacentral:snoRNA from 13 species